UCCCGAUUGACGCAAUUGGUUAGCGUGUCAGACUUUUAGGAAACUGAGAUCUGAAAGUUAUGGGUUCGAGUCCCAUAUCGGGAG
rfam:Fusarium fujikuroi IMI 58289 draft genome, chromosome FFTJ_chr09